rnacentral:tRNA from 1 species
GGCAAAAAGAGGAAUUAAACCCCUAUGAAUGGGACUACGGCCCACCACCUGAACACUCGGCCAUUUUACC